rnacentral:rRNA from 1 species
UACGGAGGGUGCAAGCGUUGUCCGGAAUCACUGGGCGUAAAGGGCGCGUAGGCGGCUCAUGAAGGCUGUGGUGAAAGUCCGGGGCUCAACCUCGGAUCGGCCGUGGCGACUCGUGGGCUGGAGCACUGUAGAGGCGGGUGGAAUUCCGGGUGUAGCGGUGGAAUGCGUAGAGAUCCGGAAGAACACCAGUGGCGAAGGCGGCCCGCUGGGCAGUGGCUGACCGCUGAGGCGCGA